rnacentral:rRNA from 1 species
CCUACGGGGGGCAGCAGUGGGGGAUAUUGCACAAUGGGGGGAACCCUGAUGCAGCGACGCCGCGUGGGUGAAGGAGCGUUUCGGCGCGUAAAGCCCUAUCGGCAGGGAAGAAGAUGACGGUACCUUACCAAGAAGCCCCGGCUAACUACGUGACAGCAGCCGCGGUAAUACGGAGGGGGCAAGCGUUAUCCGGAUUUACUGGGUGUAAGGGGGGCGCAGACGGGAAUGCAAGCCAGGAGUGAAAGCCCGGGGCCCAACCCCGGGACUGCUCUUGGAACUGGAUGGCUGGAGUACAGGAGGGGCAGGCGGAAUUCGUGGUGUAGCGGUGAAAUGCGUAGAUAUUAGGAGGAACCCCGAUGGCGAAGGCGGCCUGCUGGACUGUGACUGACGUUGAGGCCCGAAGGCGUGGGGAGCAAACAGGAUUAGAUACCCGAGUAGUC